rnacentral:rRNA from 1 species
UAGGGAAUCUUCCGCAAUGGACGCAAGUCUGACGGAGCAACGCCGCGUGAGUGAUGAAGGUUCUCGGAUCGUAAAGCUCUGUUGCCAGGGAAGAACGGCUGGGGGAGUAACUGCCCUUGGCAUGACGGUACCUGAGAAGAAAGCCCCGGCUAACUACGUGCCAGCAGCCGCGGUAAUACGUAGGGGGCAAGCGUUGUCCGGAAUUAUUGGGCGUAAAGCGCGCGCAGGCGGUGGAUUAAGUUUGGUGUUUAAGCCCGGGGCUCAACCCCGGAUCGCACUGAAAACUGGUCGACUUGAGUGUAGGAGAGGAAAGUGGAAUUCCACGUGUAGCGGUGAAAUGCGUAGAGAUGUGGAGGAACACCAGUGGCGAAGGCGACUUUCUGGCCUAUAACUGACGCUGAGGCGCGAAAGCGUGGGGAGCAAACAGGAUUAGAUACCCCCGUAGUCC